rnacentral:rRNA from 1 species
GGCGAACGCUGGCGGCGUGCUUAACACAUGCAAGUCGUACGGUAAGGCCCUUUCGGGGGUCCACGAGUGGCGAACGGGUGAGUAACACGUGAGUAACCUGCCCACAACUUUGGGAUAACGCUAGGAAACUGGUGCUAAUACUGGAUAUGUGCUCCUGCUGCAUGGUGGGGGUUGGAAAGCUCCGGCGGUUGUGGAUGGACUCGCGGCCUAUCAGCUUGUUGGUGGGGUAGUGGCCUACCAAGGCGGCGACGGGUAGCCGGCCUGAGAGGGUGACCGGCCACAUUGGGACUGAGAUACGGCCCAGACUCCUACGGGAGGCAGCAGUGGGGAAUAUUGCACAAUGGGCGCAAGCCUGAUGCAGCAACGCCGCGUGCGGGAUAACGGCCUUCGGGUUGUAAACCGCUUUCAGCAGGGACGAAGCUUUUUGUGACGGUACCUGCAGAAGAAGCACCGGCUAACUACGUG